GCCAGCUGCACAGUUGUCUUCUACAGCAGGCUUUCUGAAGCCAAAUCCUGCUGAAAGAAAUAACAUUACUGGAGCUACUGGAUGAGGAGGAAAAGUUGGCAAAAACACAAUAGAAGUUUGUUUACAUGUGUCCAAUGAUUUAAUCCAGAUCGAGAAGGUCACAAUGGCUUUUGCUACCAUGUUGGAUGCAAU